rnacentral:rRNA from 1 species
AGCACUGUUUCGGCAAGGGGGUCAUCCCGACUUACCAACCCGAUGCAAACUGCGAAUACCGGAGAAUGUUAUCACGGGAGACACACGGCGGGUGCUAACGUCCGUCGUGAAGAGGGAAACAACCCAGACCGCCAGCUAAGGUCCCAAAGUCAUGGUUAAGUGGGAAACGAUGUGGGAAGGCCCAGACAGCCAGGAUGUUGGCUUAGAAGCAGCCAUCAUUUAAAGAAAGCGUAAUAGCUCACUGGUCGAGUCGGCCUGCGCGGAAGAUGUAACGGGGCUAAACCAUGCACCGAAGCUGCGGCAGCGACGCUUAUGCGUUGUUGGGUAGGGGAGCGUUCUGUAAGCCUGUGAAGGUGUGCUGUGAGGCAUGCUGGAGGUAUCAGAAGUGCGAAUGCUGACAUAAGUAACGAUAAAGCGGGUGAAAAGCCCGCUCGCCGGAAGACCAAGGGUUCCUGUCCAACGUUAAUCGGGGCAGGGUGAGUCGACCCCUAAGGCGAGGCCGAAAGGCGUAGUCGAUGGGAAACAGGUUAAUAUUCCUGUACUUGGUGUUACUGCGAAGGGGGGACGGAGAAGGCUAUGUUGGCCGGGCGACGGUUGUCCCGGUUUAAGCGUGUAGGCUGGUUUUCCAGGCAAAUCCGGAAAACCAAGGCUGAGGCGUGAUGACGAGGCACUACGGUGCUGAAGCGACAAAUGCCCUGCUUCCAGGAAAAGCCUCUAAGCAUCAGGUAACAUCAAAUCGUACCCCAAACCGACACAGGUGGUCAGGUAGAGAAUACCAAGGCGCUUGAGAGAACUCGGGUGAAGGAACUAGGCAAAAUGGUGCCGUAACUUCGGGAGAAGGCACGCUGAUAUGUAGGUGAAGCGACUUGCUCGUGGAGCUGAAAUCAGUCGAAGAUACCAGCUGGCUGCAACUGUUUAUUAAAAACACAGCACUGUGCAAACACGAAAGUGGACGUAUACGGUGUGACGCCUGCCCGGUGCCGGAAG